rnacentral:rRNA from 1 species
GAUGAACGCUGGCGGCGUGCCUAAUACAUGCAAGUCGAGCGAACAGAUAAGGAGCUUGCUCCUUUGACGUUAGCGGCGGACGGGUGAGUAACACGUGGGUAACCUACCUAUAAGACUGGGAUAACUUCGGGAAACCGGAGCUAAUACCGGAUAACAUUUGGAACCGCAUGGUUCUAAAGUGAAAGAUGGUUUUGCUAUCACUUAUAGAUGGACCCGCGCCGUAUUAGCUAGUUGGUAAGGUAACGGCUUACCAAGGCGACGAUACGUAGCCGACCUGAGAGGGUGAUCGGCCACACUGGAACUGAGACACGGUCCAGACUCCUACGGGAGGCAGCAGUAGGGAAUCUUCCGCAAUGGGCGAAAGCCUGACGGAGCAACGCCGCGUGAGUGAUGAAGGGUUUCGGCUCGUAAAACUCUGUUAUUAGGGAAGAACAAACGUGUAAGUAACUGUGCACGUCUUGACGGUACCUAAUCAGAAAGCCACGGCUAACUACGCG